rnacentral:rRNA from 1 species
GUGCCAGCAGCCGCGGUAAUACGUAGGGUCCAAGCGUUAAUCGGAAUUACUGGGCGUAAAGCGUGCGCAGGCGGUUGUGUAAGCCAGAUGUGAAAUCCCCGGGCUUAACCUGGGAAUGGCAUUUGGGACUGCACGGCUAGAGUACGGCAGAGGAGACUAGAAUUCCUGGUGUAGCAGUGAAAUGCGUAGAUAUCAGGAGGAAUACCGAUGGCGAAGGCAGGUCUCUGGGUCGAUACUGACGCUCAUGCACGAAAGCGUGGGGAGCAAACAGGAUUAGAUACCCUUGUAGUCC